rnacentral:rRNA from 1 species
UAAAUGAAGAGUUUGAUCAUGGCUCAGAUGAACGCUUGGCGGCAGGCCUAAACACAUGCAAGUCGAGCGGUAGCACAGAGUAGCUUGCCUCUCGGGUGACGAGACGGCGGACGGGAGUAAUGUAUGGGGAAACUGCUGUAUGGAGGGGGAUAACUACUGGAACGGUUAGCUAAUACCGCAUAACGUCGCCAAUGACCACACAGUGGAGGAACACCCCUCGGGCCUCAUUGCCAUUCAGAUGGCCCAGAUGGGAUUAGAUAGUAGUGGGGUAACGGCUCACCUAAGGCGGACCGACUACCCUAGCUGGUCUGAGGAGGAUGACCAGCCACACGGAAACUGAGACAGGUCAGACUCUCCGGGAGGCAGCAGUGGGGAAUAUUGCACAAUGGGCGCAAGCCUGAUGCAGGCCAUGCCGCGUGUGUGAAGAAGGCUUGGGUUGUAAAAGCACUUCAGCGGGGAGGAGGCGGUGAGGUUAAUAAUCAUCGAUUGACGGUACCCGCAGAAGAAGCACCGGCUAACUCGUGCCAGCAGCCGCUGGUAAUACGGAGGGUUCAAGCGUUAAUCGGAAUACUGCGGCGUAAAGCGCACGCGGCGGUCUGUCAAGUCGAUGAGAAAUCACCGGGCUUCAACCUGGGAACUGCAUUCGAAAACUGGCAAGGCUAGAGUCUUGUAGCGGGGGGUAGAAUUCCAGGGUAGCGGUGAAAUGCGUAGAAUCUGGAGGAAUACCGGUGAGGAAGGGUCCCCUGGAACAACACUGACGCUCAGGUUUGGCUGCGAAAUGCUGGGGAGCAAACAGGAUUAGAUACCAUGGUAGUCCACGCGAAACGAGUCGAUUGGGGUUGUGCCCUUGAGGCGUGGCUUCCGGAGCUAACGCGGUAAUCGACCGCAUAGGGGAGUACGGCCAAGUUAAAACUCAAAUGAUUGACGGGGGCCAGCACAAGCGGUGGGCAUGAUGGUUUAAUUCGAUGCAACGCGAAGAACCUUACCUGGUAUUGUACAUCCAAAGAACUUUCCAGAGAAGGAUUGGUGCCUUCGGGAACUUGAGACAGGUGCUGCAUGGCUGUCGUCAGUCGUGUUGUGAAAGUUGGGUUAAGUCCGCAAGAGCGCAACCCUAUCCUUUGUUGCCAGCGGCGGCCGGGAACUCCAAAGGAGACUGCAGGAUAACUGGAGAAGUGGGGAUGGGACGUCAAGUCAUCAUGGCCCUUACGACCAGGUGCUACACAACGUUGCCUACAAUGGCAUAGACCAAAGAGAAGCGACCUCGCGAGAGCAAGCGACCUCAUAAAUAUGUCGUAGUCAGGAUUGGAGUCUGCAAUGAUCCAUGAAUUCGGAAUCGUAGUAUCGUAGAUCAGAAUGCUACGGUGAAUACGUUCCCGGGCCUUGUACACACCGCGUCAAACCAUGGGGUGGGUUGCAAAAAAAAAGGUAGGGAGCUUAAACAUUCGGAGGGCGUUACCACUUGGAUUAAUGACUGGGGUGAAGUCGUAACAAGGUAACCGUAGGGGAACUGCGGUUGGAUCACCUCCUUA